GAUGAACGCUGGCGGCGUGCCUAAUACAUGCAAGUCGAGCGAACGGACGAGAAGCUUGCUUCUCUGAUGUUAGCGGCGGACGGGUGAGUAACACGUGGAUAACCUACCUAUAAGACUGGGAUAACUUCGGGAAACCGGAGCUAAUACCGGAUAAUAUUUUGAACCGCAUGGUUCAAAAGUAAAAGACGGUCUUGCUGUCACUUAUAGAUGGAUCCGCGCUGCAUUAGCUAGUUGGUAAGGUAACGGCUUACCAAGGCAACGAUGCAUAGCCGACCUGAGAGGGUGGUCGGCCACACUGGAACUGAGACACGGUCCAGACUCCUACGGGAGGCAGCAGUAGGGAAUCUUCCGCAAUGGGCGAAAGCCUGACGGAGCAACGCCGCGUGAGUGAUGAAGGUCUUCGGAUCGUAAAACUCUGUUAUUAGGGAAGAACAUAUGUGUAAGUAACUGUGCACAUCUUGACGGUACCUAAUCAGAAAGCCACGGCUAACUACGUG
rnacentral:rRNA from 1 species